rnacentral:rRNA from 1 species
GACGAACGCUGGCGGCGUGCCUAAUACAUGCAAGUCGACCUUAGUGGCGAACGGGUGAGUAACACGUGGGUAACCUUCCCAUCAGAGGGGGAUAACACUUGGAAACAGGUGCUAAUACCGUAUACUUAUGGAUGGACCCGCGGUGCAUUAGCUAGUUGGUGAGGUAACGGCUCACCAAGGCCACGAUGCAUAGACGAACUGAGAGGGUGAUCGGGCACACUGGGACUGUGACUAGGCCCAAACUCCUACGUGCGGCAGCAGUAGGGAAUCUUCGGCAAUGGACGAAAGUCUGACCGAGCAACGCGGCGGGAGUGAAGAAGGUUUUCGGAUCGUAAAACUCUGUUGUUAGAGAAGCGGUAUAUAACCAGAAAGCCACGGCUAACUACGUGCCAGCCGCCGCGGUAAUUC